rnacentral:rRNA from 1 species
UGGGGAAUUUUGCGCAAUGGACGAAAGUCUGACGCAGCAACGCCGUGUGGGCGAUGAAGGCCUUCGGGUUGUAAAGCCCUGUCAAUGUGGGAAGAAAUUUGACGGUACCCAUAAAGGAAGCACUGGCUAACUCCGUGCCAGCAGCCGCGGUAAUACGGAGAGUGCUAGCGUUGCUCGGAAUCACUGGGCGUAAAGCGCGCGUAGGCGGUCCCUUAAGUCGGAUGUGAAAGUCUGCAGCUUAACUGUAGAAGUGCAUUCGAUACUAGGGGACUUGAGUGUGGCAGAGGGAUGUGGAAUUCCCGGUGUAGAGGUGAAAUUCGUAGAUACCGGGAGGAACACCAGUGGCGAAGGCGGCAUCCUGGGCCAACACUGACGCUGAGGCGCGAAAGCGUGGGGAGCAAACAGG